UUGCUAUCUGCGAUAUGGAAGAUUCGAACCUGCCGCAGGUUCGGGUCGAACGCAGUGAGACAACGGAGCCGCUUGCGGCGACGGCCCGAAGGGCGAGCAAAGCGAGUCAUCCUGCACGACCCACCA
rnacentral:sRNA from 1 species